GAGAUUUUAGUUAAAUUAUAACAUCAUUUUGUCAAAAUGAAAUAAUUAAUUUUUAUUAAUAAAUCUUU
rnacentral:tRNA from 1 species